GACGAACGCUGGCGGCGUGCUUAACACAUGCAAGUCGAACGGAAAGGCCCUGCUUUUGUGGGGUGCUCGAGUGGCGAACGGGUGAGUAACACGUGAGUAACCUGCCCUUGACUUUGGGAUAACUUCAGGAAACUGGGGCUAAUACCGGAUAGGAGCUCCUGCUGCAUGGUGGGGGUUGGAAAGUUUCGGCGGUUGGGGAUGGACUCGCGGCUUAUCAGCUUGUUGGUGGGGUAGUGGCUUACCAAGGCUUUGACGGGUAGCCGACCUGUGAGGGUGACCGGCGACCAGGGGACUGCGAGAGGGCCCAGAGUGCAACGGGAGGCAGCAGUGGGGAAUAUUACACAAUGGGCGGAAGCCUGAUGCAGAAACGCCGCGUGCGGGAUGACGGCCUUCGGGUUGUAAACCGCUUUCGCCUGUGACGAAGCGUGAGUGACGGUAAUGGAUAAAGAAGCACCGGCUAACUACGUG
rnacentral:rRNA from 1 species